GUCAGGGGUCUCAUGUCCCUCACAGUAUGGAAGCCGCGGCCUCAUUCCACUCCCGCCCGCAGAUUUCUUCUCUGAUUUCAAAGGACAGCAUGACCACCAAACUCCUGAACUGGAAAUUCCCAUGGUCAGUGGAGGAAAAAUCUAGCAACUGAUGCAUGAGGACCCACAGCCUGGCAAGUUCUCUUUGUAUCCUAUCAUGUGAAUAGAAGCCAAGGAAGGUUGUUUGGUUUGGAUGUCACAUGGUGACUGACCAGCCCAGGGGAGCCAACAAAAAACUGCCUUGCUCUGUGCAU